UGGGGAAUAUUGGACAAUGGGCGCAAGCCUGAUCCAGCCAUGCCGCGUGUGUGAAGAAGGCCUUUUGGUUGUAAAGCACUUUAAGCGAGGAGGAGGCUACUUGGAUUAAUACUCUAGGAUAGUGGACGUUACUCGCAGAAUAAGCACCGGCUAACUCUGUGCCAGCAGCCGCGGUAAUACAGAGGGUGCGAGCGUUAAUCGGAUUUACUGGGCGUAAAGCGUGCGUAGGCGGCUUUUUAAGUCGGAUGUGAAAUCCCUGAGCUUAACUUAGGAAUUGCAUUCGAUACUGGGAAGCUAGAGUAUGGGAGACGAUGGUAGAAUUCCAGGUGUAGCGGUGAAAUGCGUAGAGAUCUGGAGGAAUACCGAUGGCGAAGGCAGCCAUCUGGCCUAAUACUGACGCUGAGGUACGAAAGCAUGGGGAGCAAACAGG
rnacentral:rRNA from 1 species